UGGUGACGAUGGCGGAGGGGCCACACCCGUUCCCAUUCCGAACACGGCAGUUAAGCCCUCCAGCGCCGAUGGUACUUGGCGGGAAACCGCCUGGGAGAGUAGGUCGUUGCCAGGAGC
rnacentral:rRNA from 1 species